rnacentral:rRNA from 1 species
UACAGAGGGUGCGAGCGUUGUCCGGAAUCACUGGGCGUAAAGGGCGUGUAGGCGGGAAGGAAAGUCAGAUGUGAAAUCCCCAGGCUCAACCUGGGAACUGCAUUUGAAACUCCCUUUCUUGAGUACCGGAGAGGAAAGUGGAAUUCCUGGUGUAGAGGUGAAAUUCGUAGAUAUCAGGAGGAACACCAGUGGCGAAGGCGGCUUUCUGGACGGUAACUGACGCUGAGACGCGAAAGCGUGGGGAGCAAACAGG